AUGUUUAGUUGCCUAGAACGCGAUCUGUCAGCCCAAGAUUUUCGGUGCCUGGGAGUGAAAAACCUCCAGCUCCAAGCUCUGGCUUUGCGCGUACAGUGGGAAUGGCUUCGCCACACUGAUCAGGCAAGGCAAUGGACCCAAGGUGUUGUUUUGGAAAGAUCGUUGGCUUCACAGCACAAUACCGCUCAUUGCGAACCCGCGGUCCUCUCUCUGGUGCCCACGCGAGCCCAAAACCAGCGCAUGGUCUCUCAAGCCCUCGCAACGGAUAGAUGGGAGUCUGACAUCCAAGGUGAGAUCCCUUUCAUGGCCCUGAUUGAACUCGUGCACCUGUGA
rnacentral:rRNA from 1 species